GAUUUGCCACUGCCUACGUGGCCGCAGAUACCGACUAAUUUUCCUUUAGGUGCUCCGAAAUGCACAUCGCUAAGAACCUCGACGUAUUUAGUUUCCUGCAUUGGUUGAUUCAGAUUCUCCAAUUCCAGUGGAUUGUCCAAUGUAUUGAUUGAUGCAUCGGUUUGAAGCUUCAUGCUAUCGCAAACAAAGGUACCAUUAGCAAUGGCAACUGCUUGCGAUCUCACAAUGGGUUUCGAUGCCUGGCAAUUGUCCUCGUUCAGCAGCAACACACUCUGUGCAAAUAUCAUCUCGUUAAUUCAAAUCAUCUAUUUCAAAAGAUUCUCGAAGAAACUAGAAUACAUUAGAAGCAUGUCAGAAGCAAAUAAGCUUAAAUAUGUAAAAAUGUAACUUUAAAUAAGAUAAAGAUAUAUACAGUGCAUACACUCAGCGACACUAAGGUGACAUAUCUGACUCUAAAUUAAUUUUUAAAUUAAAUUUGUGUAGCAACAUACUUGCUUCUCGUAAAUCUAACAUCUCUAGAGAUAAUAUCUCUAAUAUAAUACAAAUACAAAAAAAAAAA